CGUCUCGGGAGACACAGCGACCGCGGGCAGCCGGGGCGGGACGGGUUCGCAAACGUCCGUGUGGGUUUGCCUUUCUAGCCUUUUUGUUUGUUUGCUUUUACAAAUUCUGUGUUAUCUUGGUUUUGAACACAAGACUUUUAGCUUAACUAGAAGUGGAAGAAACUUUUUCUUUAAAUUGUCUUUCCAAACCCCAAAGCCCUUGUUUUCUGCCCAGUUUGAGUAAUUUUGUUUGAAAUUCACCACCUGAAAUUCCCAAGCUAAAAGGAGAGCUGAAUUAAGCAAAGGGGACCUGCCUCCCAGCGAGCCCGGAGGUUCGUGGUAAUGGCGGCGGGGGCCUCUCGGACACGCGUUUCCACAAGGAAUGGCUGUAUAUCUAGUUGAAUCUCCCUGGGUUUGGGGUAAGAAAUAGAAGAUUUAAAUGAAGCUCAUGACGCCCGGAUCUUUGGUGCCAAAACAGAUUGCUUGGCAAAGGCCAGAGAGAAGAUUCUAAUCCUCCCAUGAUGCCUCCACCCCAUCGCUGUUGCUGCAUAAAACAGUCUCUGGCUGGCUCAGAUAUUCUGGAUUCCUUCUUCCUCCUCUUUGUAUAGAGUCUCUUCUGGAAGAUUUUUGUUAUAAGGGCCUAAAAUUGCCACAUUCUUUGGUGUGAUUAGUAAUAUAUUUGAUUACCUUUUUCUCCUUUCAACUCUGAGGUAAGGACUUUGUUAAUACAAAACUCAAUGUUUUCAAGGAACCUAAAUGUCACCUUUUUCUCUGGCCUGCACCCAUGUUCCCUUUAACCUCAUCACAUCCCAUCACAGCUGCUCUCUCCACUGGUUUAUUCUCCAUGUGCCAUUUAUUCCCCUCCUCCUCAUGCUCAAACCUCACCUUCACUUAGGCCUAAAGACCCAAACUGGAGAGGGCACUUUAGCUGAACAUAUCAUGUAACCAACUCCUGCCCUCAAAAAAGCCCAGGCUAAAAAUAGAAGGCCCUCAGCUCUGGUCGCUGGCACUGGCUGCAGGGACAGCCGUGUGACCUCGGGCACCAACCCAAAUAACAGCUCAGUGGCAAAUACCUUACCUGCAAGAUGAAGGGGUGACAGGAAGUGAUGAUGUUAAUACUAUAAGAUACAGUAAACAAAGGGGUGGGAAGAGAAAUGGAAGAUUUUUGAGGCUCCUGGCAGAGGCUUUAAGGAAGAAAGGCCUGGAAAGGCAAAAAUUUAGAAUCAGCCUCCAGACAUGCCCUCAGGAGACCCUACCUAAUUCUCCUGACUCAAACCUGAAAACUCCAGAGUCCACUCCACCCCUUUCCCUUUUAAGCAAGGUCAGUCGAGCUUAGUCCUGAGAGAGAAACUUCAGAGACCCAUUUAACUUACAGCCCUGGGUUCCAGAGACCAGUCUAAGUCCUUAGCUGCGCCUAUCUUCCCCCAGGCCACUUUUGUAAGAUUUUAUCUAAUUCUAGAAAACCAACAGGAGAUAGCUCUGGAAAUGCAGGCCAGAGAGAAAAAGCAAGGGGAGUCCCAAGAAAGAAAUUUUCUUGUUUUAUAAAGACUAGGAAUUUGCAGUUCCCAACCCCCCUCCUCCUGCUGCCCACCUUCCCAGAGCUGAUCUCUGGAACAGUGUGAAUCUCUGAUGCUGACAAACGUUCGGCUACCUCAACUCUGCACAGCAGCCAGCUCCUGUGCUCAGAGCUCCAUUAUGUGGAAGAGAAAGCGCUCAUUAUUUUCUAGAGGAUUUGGACAGCUAAAAAUCUCCCCAGGGGAAGUCUAAAAUCAACCACUGAAACCCACCAGACACACCCAUCACCACGCAGAUAGCCAAG